rnacentral:lncRNA from 1 species
CCUAAUCUCAUGUACUUCCGAGGAUUACAACUUUGUUAUUACGAGGAAAUUGUAGCUUGGAUCAAGUUGUAGAACUUUUUUUUCCGCAGAUGCCAGGUCUAUGUGUUUUAGAUUUAAGCUACACUGAAAUAGAAAAGUCGCUUACUUCUGUGUCAAAAUCUGGUAAAGCCUCUUUGCGUUGCUGCUACGAGGCUGUCCGAGACUCAGAUUUGUGCGGCCGUUGAACAAGCUAAAGAACCUCAUUGAAUUGGACCUUUAUGGCACAAUUAUGCCUAGAAAACUUUGGCUAGUUUAACAAGCUUGGACAUGAGAAGAGACGAAACAACAUGGACUCAGACACCAGUUAUGACAUCAGCUGUAGAUUUGUCAAAUAUCGACAGUCUUGUGGGAAGCCGGCUUU